AUUGAACGCUGGCGAAAUGCUUUACACAUGCAAGUCGAACGGCAGCACGGACUUCGGUCUGGUGGCGAGUGGCGAACGGGUGAGUAAUACAUCGGAACGUGCCCAGUCGUGGGGGAUAACGUAGCGAAAGCUACGCUAAUACCGCAUACGAUCUAAGGAUGAAAGCGGGGGAUCGCAAGACCUCGCGCGAUUGGAGCGGCCGAUGGCAGAUUAGGUAGUUGGUAGGGUAAAGGCCUACCAGGCCGACGAUCUGUAGCUGGUCUGAGAGGAUGAUCAGCCACACUGGGACUGAGACACGGCCCAGACUCCUACGGGAGGCAGCAGUGGGGAAUUUUGGACAAUGGGCGCAAGCCUGAUCCAGCCAUUCCGCGUGCAGGAUGAAGGCCUUCGGGUUGUAAACUGCUUUUGUACAGAACGAAAAGGCUCUGGUUAAUACCCGGGGCUCAUGACGGUGCUGUAAGAAUAAGCACCGGCUAACUACGUGCCAGCAGCCGCAGUAA
rnacentral:rRNA from 1 species